rnacentral:rRNA from 1 species
GAUGAACGCUGGCGGCGUGCCUAACACAUGCAAGUCGAACGAUGAAGCCCAGCUUGCUGGGUGGAUUAGUGGCGAACGGGCGAGUAACACGUGAGUAACCUGCCCUUAACUCUGGGUUAAGCCUGGGAAACUGGGUCUAAUACCGGCUAGGAGCGUCCACCGCAUGGUGGGUGUUGGAAAGAUUUAUCGGUUUUGGAUGGACUCGCGGCCUAUCAGCUUGUUGGUGAGGUAAUGGUUAACCAAGGCCUCGACGGGUAGCCGGCCUGAGAGGGUGACCGGCCACACUGGGACUGAGACACGGCCCAGACUCCUACGGGAGGCAGCAGUGGGGAAUAUUGCACAAUGGGCGCAAGCCUGAUGCAGCGACGCCGCGUGAGGGAUGACGGCCUUCGGGUUGUAAACCUCUUUCAGUAGGGAAGAAGCGAAAGUGACGGUACCUGCAGAAGAAGCACCGGCUAACUACGUG